UCUCUCUCUUCGAUAUGUCCUCUUCAAUACAAGCGCAAUUAUAUUAAUGGCACGCAGCGGAUGUUGUUGUUUCUCCCCUUCUCCUCCUCCGCUCUCUUUUCCGGCCCAAGGCUAUUGGAAGAAGAAGAAGAAGAGAUAGAUAGGUCGACAGAUCCGUGAAGAAGAGAAGGGGGCAGCAACGGGAAGCGGGAGACGGGGAAGGGGUAGGAGGGUAUAAUUGAUUGUCCGGAAGGAGGGAUGGAAAAAGAUCGAUGAUCGCCGAAUUUUCAUGUACACCGAGAAUUAUGACACGCUGUUUAACUGCACUUGAUUUGCAGACCCGAAACUAGGGACCGACAGAUAUCGCAAUGAGGGUCUU
rnacentral:lncRNA from 1 species